UCCUCGUUAGUAUAGUGGACAGUAUCUCUGCUUGUCACGCAAAAUACCCGGGUUCUAUUCCCUGAUGAGGAG
rnacentral:tRNA from 1 species